AUUUGCCAUCCCUAGACCUCAAAGCCGGAUAAAAGAACCGUCCCUUGGAUAUAUCUUUUCUUCAACGCGUUACUCUCCCCCAAAUAGAAGUCGGCAAACUCGACAAGGCAAAUUGGAGCAACUGGUAGCAACCUUUCGAUUCGGAUUCGGAGUCCCAAAAAAUCAGAGGAGAGUUUAUGAUUUUGCAGGUUCUACAUUGCUCUGUCCGAUCGUAUUGGUGUCUCUACAUUGUACUUUGAUCUUUAUGGUUUCUUUUUUCUUUCUUUAAUCCGACAAACAUGGAGGAUCUGAAAAGUUUUGGUGGCUUAAAAUGAUAAAUCUGUAAGUAAAGUUGGUAUUACAUUAUGUAACUGAUGCUUUUACCGAUGCCCAUAAUGCUAGGGUAAAAACUUGUAAUAUAUGUUGGAAGAGCUCAAAUGGAACAGUUAUAAACGUUCUAAAUGGUGAUUUUAAAGUAUUUGCUUUAUUUUUCCUGGCUGAUGGCAUCUCUAAACUAUGACUUACCUGAAAAUAGUAUAUGAAAACUAUGGCACUAUGAUCUUUUGAGAAACACUUCUUUGGCCAAACAUACAUCUACAUGUCCCAGGUAUUGUUGAUUCUUAUACUUGCUGUUGUCAUCCCUUAUUUAUUUCAUUUGAACAUAAGAAAUGAUAAGUUGUAUAAUUGUUUUUUCCAUCAUUUCUACCAGGUUGGUCUGAACAAUAUGUAUAUAUAGACAUGUUUAUGGAGAUCAAUAUCAGCAAUUAAAACAGUUAUUCAAGGAGUUGAAAGACUCAGGAUUUGCUUUUACAAAGUUAAUCCUUUAAUUAUUUUGUACCUAUUUAAUUGUAAUGCUACAUGUUUAUUUAUCCUCUACUCCGAAUUUGUUAUGAUUAGGAAUAUUGCCCUAAUCCAUUUAGAAAAUGUUUUUUCCUUAACUGUAAACCUUUCUGCAACUCCGGUGGAGUAGCUCUAUUCAUGUAUAACAGAGAAGAGGGUUUCUUUACAUGAUAUUUAUUCAAAUUUAACUAACGAAAUUUCUCAGGCUACACACUGUGUUUUGGUAUCACUUUGUUGAUUAGUAUUAAAAUAGCGGGUUUCCCAUUUUAUUUGACGUAAAACAUUUGAAUGAUACUACUAAAAGCUAUAAAAAAGAAAAAGAUAUUUUAUCUUUUAUUCUCAUGUUUUUCCUUUUCGCUUUAACAAUCAUUUUUCCACUAAUGUGCUACAUGGCAUGCAUUCAAGAUGGAAUCUGAAAAGAUACAACUGAUAUACUUAAUAGAUUUAUAAUAUUGUAUCGUUUUUUUUUUUAAUUCCUGACUGUUUCUUUUAUCUUAUUUAUUUGAAUAAUAUGUAUUAAUUUCUACAGGCUUCUUAUAUAUAUCGUUUACUCGGUACAAUUUUAUACGUUAUACAUAGAGUUUGUUUCUAACAUAUUUUGGAUUGGCCGACCAAGUAAUUACCUGCACUACAACCGUUGACAAGAACUAUAAAAAGAUAAGUAUGUGUUUCUUCUUAUUGUUUAUUUUCCUAUUUUGUGUCUCUUUCUCUUUUAUAUAAAAAGAUAAGUAAUGGGUUUCUCUUAUUGUUUUAUAUAUAGCCUUAUAUAUUUGUUUAGCAUUUUAAAGAAUUUUUAGACUACAAAGGAGACUUAUAACAUAGAUGUUUGGACUAAUUAUAUAUAUUUCUUAUCGCACACCGCGCGAAGCGCAAGCUAUUUCACUAGUUUUUGGAUAAUGCAGGCGCAGAAGCCAGAGGAGCUACCAGAGUUUUGUGCUGCAUCCGAUUGAAUAAGGUUGAUUUUGUAAAUCACGGCCAGAUACCUCAGCUUGUGACUCUUGUUGAAAAUUGUGUUGAUUGGAAUUUAGGGUACAGUUGUAGAUGAAAACCUACAAUCUUUAGCCACAACUCAAAAGAAAGAAAAAAAAAAACUAUGCUGUGAAAUGGAAAGUGAACAUGUAUAUUACCAGAUUUGAGCUUUUGACUUCAAGAAACUCAAAUUUGUAUAUUAGAUACAAAGAUUGUACUA